GGGAGCCGGAUGCGGUAGUUCUGCAUGUCCGGUUCUGAGGAGGGAUCUGCCCGGGUGACUGGGCAGGUCUACUCACCAAC
rnacentral:ncRNA from 2 species